GCAGCCAUGUUGAAGAGCCACACUGGCAGUCAAACCCAACAGUAGAUGGAGUGUUGAUGGAGUGUUGUGGGAUUGGGGUGAAACCAAUAGCAACAGCAGCUAGAGGCAGAUGAUGGUAGAUGGAGGUAGAUGGAGUGUUGUGGGACUGGGGUGAGAUGUGAGUGUUGAUGGAGUGUUGUGGAGGGUUGAUGGAGUGUUGAUGGAGUGUUGUGGGACUGGGGUGAGAUGUGAGUGUUGAUGGAGUGUUGAUGGAGUGUUGUGGAGGGUUGAUGGAGUGUUGAUGGAGUGUUGUGGGACUGGGGUGAGAUGUGAGUGUUGAUGGAGGGUUGAUGGAGUGUUGAUGGAGUGUUGUGGAGUGUUGAUGGAGUGUUGAUGGAGUGUUGAUGGAGUGUUGUGGAGUGUUGAUGGAGUGUUGAUGGAGUGUUGAUGGAGUGUUGAUGGAGUGUUGUGGGAGUGUUGAUGAGAUGUGUGUGUUGAUGGAGUGUUGAUGGAGUGUUGUGGGACUGGGGUGAGAUGUGAGUGUUGAUGGAGUGUUGAUGGAGUGUUGUGGAGGGUUGAUGGAGUGUUGAUGGAGUGUUGUGGAGUGUUGAUGGAGUGUUGAUGGAGUGUUGAUGGAGUGUGAUGGAGUGUUGAUGGAGCGUUGAUGGAGCGUUGAUGGAGCGUUGAUGGAGUGUUGAUGGAGUGUUGAUCGAGUGUUGAUGGAGUGUAGAUGGAGUGUUGAUGGAGUGUUGAUGGAGUGUUGAUGGAGCGUUGAUCGAGUGUUGUGGGAGUGUUGAUGGAGUGUUGAUGGAGUGUUGUGGGAUUGGGGUGAAACCAAUAGCAACAGCAGCUAGAGUCAGAUGGAGUGUUGAUGGAGUGUUGAUGGAGUGUGGAUGGAGUGUGGAUGGAGUGUUGAUGGAGUGUUCAUGGAGUGUUGAUGGAGUGUUGUGGAGUGUUGAUGGAGUGUUGAUGGAGUGUUGUGGGACUGGGGUGAGAUGUGAGUGUUGAUGGAGUGUUGAUGGAUGUCGUGGAGUGUUGGUGGAGUGUUGAUGGAGUGUUGAUGGAGCGUUGAUGGAGCGUUGAUGGAGUGUUGAUGCAGUGUUGAUGGAUUGUGAUGAGAUGUGAGUGUACUGAAUGAGAAUGAUCUCAGGAGAAUGACAGGGAGUGCUUUGGCUGUGACUGUGACCGCUGGGGC
ensembl:lncRNA